AUCAGCGGCAGACGGGUGAGUAACACGUAGAUUACCUGCCCUCAAGACGGGGACAACCGGUGGAAACAGCGGCUAAUACCCGAUAUGCUCACAGGAUCGGGAGAUCGAGUGAGGAAAGCGCCCCUUCGGGGGAGAGUGUNUGAGGAGGGAUCUGCGGCCCAUCAGCUAGUUGGUGAGGUAACGGCUCGCCAAGGCGAAGACGGGUAGGGGGUGUGAGAGCAUGGCCCCCCACAAUGGGACUGAGACACGGCCCAUACUCCUACGGGAGGCAGCAGCGGGGAAUAUUGCGCAAUGGACGGAAGUCAGACGCAGCGACGCCGCGUGGGUGAGGAAGGCCUUCGGGUUGUAAAGCCCUUUUCAGGGGAGCGAGAAAGGACGGUACCCUUGGAAUAAGCGUCGGCUAACUACGUGCCAGCAGGCGCGGUAAGACGUAGGACGCAAGCGUUAUCCGGAUUUACUGGGCGUAAAGCGCCUGUAGGCGGUCAAGUAAGUCGGAUGUGAAAGCCCCGUGCUCAACGCGGGGAAGCCAUUCGAUAAUGCGUGACUAGAGAACGGCCGAGGGAAACGGAAUUUCUGGUGUAGCGG
rnacentral:rRNA from 1 species